rnacentral:misc_RNA from 1 species
AAGUCGUAACAAGGUUUCCGUAGGUGAACCUGCGGAAGGAUCAUUUCCAAAAAAGUGCAUUGCCAUAUAUACACCUUAUGGUGUGUGAACAGUUUGGAUACCACAAUUUACUCUCGAAUACUGAAGGCAUCGUGUAUGCUCAAGUGUGAGAGAGGCCUUGAUGAACCCACUUCCUUAAAGGGAAAAUAGUAUGAAAGAAUUAGAUGGUAAUGCUCUUCACAUCUUGUAUGUGAUUACACUACUCUCUUCUACUUUUUUUACUAUACCCACACAAAGGACGUUAACAUAAAGUCUUGGUAUAUUUUUUCCAAAAAAGAAGAAUUGGUGUUUUUUGAGUAGGCCACAUCUCGAAUGUGCUGCUCUUCAAGGCCCUUUUCGACUUAUCAAAGCAAAAAUAUAUAGACAACUUUUAACGGUGGAUCUCUUGGCUCGU